rnacentral:lncRNA from 1 species
AAGAAUUUGAAAGGCUUAUAAGCAGGGUAUGCCCUAUACUCAUCAUUCAUAUGGAUUAUGCUCGUUUUGUGUUGGUUGGAGAUGAAUUUAGUAAUUACGUGUCAGAUAAGAGCCAACAUCACUCCAGUAAUAAAGCCAUCUUCUCUACUAAUAUAUGUGAAAUGUCCAUGGUCCAUGGAUGUUAGCUAACUUCUGGAAAUCCUGGGAUCUCAUAUAGCCAAAGCAUUAUACAAGUAUAGUUAAUUUAAAUUAAUGACGAGUUAUCUUAGUACUAAAUUGAAGUAUUCCUGUCAGCACAUAAGAAACUUCUGUCGUCAUCUUCUUAUAGUUUAUGCUGUCACUAUAGUUGUAGUUUAUUUCAUAAAGAAACUUCUUCUUACUUAUGCCGUGGGAUUAUUUGAAGAACAACUUUGUGUUUUUGUGCAGGCUGAUAGAGAAGCAAGAGCCAGAAGGAGCAACUACACGGUCUUUGAUGAUGAUUAUGGAUAUUGAGCUUUGUUUCUUCGUAUAAUUGGUUCUCAAGUUUGCUGUCCUUGUUAUCUGAAAUUAAUAUCUAUUAUGUUUAAUUAUGGAGUUGAGGUAAAUGGAUAAUAUGUCAAAUAUUACGACAGUUCUUGCCCAUUUUUUCUUUAGUAUUUAUGCUUGUUGAAAUGUGACUACAUUUUUCCACUAGAAUUCCACCUAGCUUGUCGUCAUCCCUUUUAUGUUUGAGUCUUGUUAGUUAUGUAUGAUCAUAUGCCUUCUCCAAUGCUUCCCAGCCCGAUAGCUUUUGUUAUUGAUUCAUCUGGGAGUUUGCUUCUCUUCCCCCCUUGACUUUGGACAGGGAGGUAAUUAAGUAUCAAAGGAUGUUUUAGACUUGUAAAACUAUGCAGAUUUUCUAUCAAGAUUCCAGGGUCUCAAACCC